CCCUUCAUUGGCCUUUGUUAUGUACUUCUUGGAUAAAGGGGUGUUAUCAUCAUCUGAAUCUUCAUCUUUGACAAAAUUAGGUGCAUUUCUAUUGGUUCCCUUAAUUCUAGAACUCAAUGGUAAAUCAUCCUCAGAAUCAUCUUCAGCACUAUUUGAUUUAGUUUCACGUUUAACAGACUUGAUAUCCUCCACAACAACAUUAGAUGCACUAUGUUUAGAUGCCUGUUUCAAGUGUUCAUCUAAAUAACUUGAUGCUUUUGAAUUUGCCACCGGUGACUUCAUUGGAGAUGCU
rnacentral:misc_RNA from 1 species